AAACAGUGGCGUACAUACUCCGUCACUCCAGGGGGCCAGCCGCCCUGCAGACCCCUGCGACCAGGUGCCCGCCGCCAUGUGUUGCUGCCCUGGCCGUGCAGUAUAAUUGCCGGGGGCCGCACGUGAAGGGGUCUAACAGCAUGGGCCACCCGAUGGAAAUGAAUAUCAUCAUCUGAGUGGGCCCGGUAACAGCGCGACCGGGCCUCCUCUAAUG